rnacentral:rRNA from 1 species
UACGGAGGAUCCGAGCGUUAUCCGGAUUUAUUGGGUUUAAAGGGUGCGCAGGCGGGAUGUUAAGUCGGCGGUGAAAUUUUGCAGCUCAACUGUAAAAGUGCCUUCGAUACUGGCUUCCUUGAGUGUGGAUGAAGUAGGCGGAAUUUGUGGUGUAGCGGUGAAAUGCUUAGAUAUCACGAGGAACUCCGAUUGCGCAGGCAGCUUACUAAACUACUACUGACGCUCAGGCUCGAAAGCGUGGGGAGCAAACAGGAUUAGAUACCCU